rnacentral:lncRNA from 1 species
GGCCGAAGCCGCCGCCGUGCUACCCCCGGCCAGAUCCGUCGGACUUGGAACGAGAGGACGCCGGGGGAAAGAUGGGAGAGGCCGAUAGGGAGUGCGAAGGGAGCCCUAGAGCGCCAGCGGAAGCUGAAUCCGGGCUACGCAGUAUCCUCACUCGCAAAGAGCCUCGUCAGGAUCUCGGAACCGGCCGCAAAGGGUACGAGUGACUGAGUUCGUGGAAGAUGACGAGAGAUUCAGAUGGGGUCUUUACCUCCACGCGUUCAAAUACCAAUUAAAAAUAACAGUUGUGAUCAAAGUAUACAACAGUGGUAGUAGUCCAGUGGUCUGUAAGGGUGGUUUACAUCACUUGGUCGUGGGUUCAAUUCCUAGGCGCCCCUUGUUUUUUUGUUCUUAAUUGUUUUAAAUGUCCACUG